rnacentral:rRNA from 1 species
UUACUGCGAAGGGGGGACGGAGAAGGCUAUGUUGGCCGGGCGACGGUUGUCCCGGUUUAAGCGUGUAGGCUGGUUUUCCAGGCAAAUCCGGAAAAUCAAGGCUGAGGCGUGAUGACGAGGCACUACGGUGCUGAAGCAACAAAUGCCCUGCUUCCAGGAAAAGCCUCUAAGCAUCAGGUAACAUCAAAUCGUACCCCAAACCGACACAGGUGGUCAGGUAGAGAAUACCAAGGCGCUUGAGAGAACUCGGGUGAAGGAACUAGGCAAAAUGGUGCCGUAACUUCGGGAGAAGGCACGCUGAUAUGUAGGUGAAGUCCCUUGCGGAUGGAGCUGAAAUCAGUCGAAGAUACCAGCUGGCUGCAACUGUUUAUUAAAAACACAGCACUGUGCAAACACGAAAGUGGACGUAUACGGUGUGACGCCUGCCCGGUGCCGGAAGGUUAAUUGAUGGGGUCAGCGCAAGCGAAGCUCUUGAUCGAAGCCCCGGUAAACGGCGGCCGUAACUAUAACGGUCCUAAGGUAGCGAAAUUCCUUGUCGGGUAAGUUCCGACCUGCACGAAUGGCGUAAUGAUGGCCAGGCUGUCUCCACCCGAGACUCAGUGAAAUUGAACUCGCUGUGAAGAUGCAGUGUACCCGCGGCAAGACGGAAAGACCCCGUGAACCUUUACUAUAGCUUGACACUGAACAUUGAGCCUUGAUGUGUAGGAUAGGUGGGAGGCUUUGAAGUGUGGACGCCAGUCUGCAUGGAGCCGGCCUUGAAAUACCACCCUUUAAUGUUUGAUGUUCUAACGUGGACCCGUGAUCCGGGUUGCGGACAGUGUCUGGUGGGUAGUUUGACUGGGGCGGUCUCCUCCUAAAGAGUAACGGAGGANNCAGGAGGUUAGUGCAAUGGCAUAAGCCAGCUUGACUGCGAGCGUGACGGCGCGAGCAGGUGCGAAAGCAGGUCAUAGUGAUCCGGUGGUUCUGAAUGGAAGGGCCAUCGCUCAACGGAUAAAAGGUACUCCGGGGAUAACAGGCUUAUACCGCCCAAGAGUUCAUAUCGACGGCGGUGUUUGGCACCUCGAUGUCGGCUCAUCACAUCCUGGGGCUGAAGUAGGUCCCAAGGGUAUGGCUGUUCGCCAUUUAAAGUGGUACGCGAGCUGGGUUUAGAACGUCGUGAGACAGUUCGGUCCCUAUCUGCCGUGGGCGCUGGAGAACUGAGGGGGGCUGCUCCUAGUACGAGAGGACCGGAGUGGACGCAUCACUGGUGUUCGGGUUGUCAUGCCAAUGGCACUGCCCGGUAGCUAAAUGCGGAAGAGAUAAGUGCUGAAAGCAUCUAAGCACGAAACUUGCCCCGAGAUGAGUUCUCCCUGACCCUUUAAGGGUCCUGAAGGAACGUUGAAGACGACGACGUUGAUAGGCCGGGUGUGUAAGCGCAGCGAUGCGUUGAGCUAACCGGUACUAAUGAACCGUGAGGCUUAACCUU